rnacentral:misc_RNA from 1 species
UGGAAAAUCAUACUACAAAUCUACAAGAUUAGCUACAGCCAACAAAAGAUGCACUGCAAAUAUAUUUAUUUAUCUUCAUUUCUAUAGUUUCAUUCUGAUCCACAAAACAAAAACCCAAAACAAAGCACAAGCUGCGACAACAAUGCAUACAGUAAGAGGUCCAGAAGGGUUUAGAGACCUUGGCUGUCUUUAGCUAAAUGAAUAUAUACAUUUAUCCAAGUGCUUAUUUUAUUGAACUACAUUACAACUUCCUAGAGAAGUUGCAUUGGAAAAGAUUCUGCUAAUCAAGGUCUCUUAGCUAAAAGAUGACCAACUCUUGGUUCAUUUCACAGUAUGGUGUAACAUGACAGAUCAUUCGCGUGGUGAAGAACUCUUUUUAAUCAACGCAUAUGCAUCACUAUAGAUGGCCACCAAAUUUGAGAACACGGCAAGGACAACCAUGAAAAUACAUAAGAUUUUGUCCUUCUUUGUUGCUAUAUUGUGGCGAUCCCUGCAAUGCAAAGGUAAAACACAUGUAGAUCAGCAAUUAUUGAUUCAGCUAAAAUCAAACCACAAUGGACAAUUUUGGCCCUUGCAACAACAAUUCAAUAUCAUUGGCUCAAGGUCAUGCAGCCUACGAUAAAUUCUUACUGACAAGGUCUUAAAAAUCCAGUGUUACAGAUUACUUCUAUCAUGGGCUCAAGUUGAAAUAAGGAUAUUGAAUCAAAGUUUAACAUCAGACCCAUAUUUCCAGUUACACAACAAAUUUUCAAACUUAAAAGAAAAUAAAGAACCACGAAAUAUGACAAACAAGAUUUUAAGUCCUCAUGUCUAAUAUUUCAUUUACCUCAAAAUAUUCCAUUAAAAGGAUCAUAGGGUUUGUGUGGCCAGCAUAACUCUUGUUCAUACCAAACAGUACUCAAGUGUAACCAAAUUUUGAUUAAAAAAAAAGAAGAAAAAAAAGGAUAAGAUUGAUGUGAUUGCAAAUACUGUUAAUAAAAUUAACCAAAAAUAAAAGAAAAUAAAACUACUGGUUUUCAUCCUCAGUUCUAUACCAGUUCAGAAAAUGAUAGCAAUCUCUCUUUUUUGUUUUGUUGAAUCAUAUCAAUCAAAAUGGAGCUUUGAAGUAUUAAAGUGACAAAUAUUAUAUAAAAAUUCAAUCUACAAAUUAAAAUCAUAUGCACAAUACAAAAUGAUUAUUCAGCUUAUAGUUGCAAGAAAAGUAGUGAUUUUGAAAACAAAGACACUCGAUCACAAAUAUGAACUCACCUUUAGGAUUAUUAACACACUGGCACCACCAUAGAGACUAUGAAUUAUAUGUGGUUGGCCAGUAGAUAGCAACUUAAAGUUAUUUGGCACAGCAGCAUAAGGAAGCAUUCGGAAGUCUUCAAACAAUUGAAAAUAUAAGACAAUUCUCUAUGUGGCAAUACACAUUCAGUGGGAUUAGUCCAUUAUUUUCUGUUCUAUACUUAGUUUAUUUUACAUCACAUGAAAUUACAAGCCAAUUACUUACUCUUAUUUCAAAAUGUAGAAGACCUAUGAACUUUUUUUAGGUACAUAGUAUUGCUUAAUCAACCAUAAAUACCCAGCCUAAAUGGUCCUUAUGCAAAGUACAACAUGCCAAUCAAAUUAAGCAUUGAAACAAAUAUAUCAAAAAAGAGGACAAAAGUGAACACUUGCUAUAAAGUAAUUAAGUUGUAAAAGUACCUAAGAGUGAUGGAAGCAGGAAAAAUGAAUCCAAGGCAAACAGCAGCAGUUGCUCCAGUGAAUUGGAAUGCAUCCCAGAUGCUUGGAAUGAAAUUAGCACCCAAGAAGAUCAGAGCAAUUAGUCCAAUGGUGAUUGAUGCAAAUCUCAUAUUUUCCUGAUAAAGAGGCCGUGCUAAGGGAAAUAGGAGGCCGUCCAAGUUGAGUCGCAAGGGAUAGAAGACAAUUGGGAAUACAAGCAUGAGAUGAGCAGCAUAACUAACGCGAACAGCAUCAUUAAGCAGGGAACUGUAAGGAAUGCCGAGGUCAGUAUCAAAGUUGGCAAGCACAUCAUCAAGAGUUCCAUCACCAAAUAGAAGGAAUCCAAAAAUGCUGGUCAUUAUGUACACAGUUGAGCAUAAAGCAAGUGAUGUUCGCACAACUGCUUUUAUCUGAGUGGAGUCCUCAAGUUCAUUAUCUAUGCUGUGAACAUUGUAGUGGCAGAUGUAUGCAGUGACAAGAACAGGGACUGCAGUGAAGAGUUUCCAGAAUGAUGUCAAAUCUGUAACAUUGGGUAGCAAUCUGGGCAUCAUUAUGCUUCCAUUUAUCAACUUGACAGUAGUGAUUCCCACAGUGAUGACGAGAAACACAACUGCCAGAGCAACUGAUAAGGCAGAUGUGAAUCUUAAAGAAUCAAUUCGUUUAAAGCAAGCAAGUGGAGAAAAUAUAGCAAGUGUUGUGACAAGAAGGAUAAAGAAUCGUCCAGUCCACCAGCGUUCACCAAACCACCCUUCAAGCACACCAGCAUGGUGAAGUCCACUUGAAGAUGUUCCAGACAGCACAUCCCCAAUGAUAAUCAUGUACACAAUGAGUAUACCAACGUUGUUGAUUAAAACAGCAACUUGCAACAAUAUUCUCCCAUACUUUCCAAAGGCAUCACCCAUAAGUCCUCCAUAAGAAGCAUUCUUCCCUGCCCUGCUAAACCUAAGUAGCAACUCAAUUGAAGCCUCUGUCAAGAAGGCCAUAAAGAUGAUCAUAGCAACCCCAAGGCCAAGGCCUAACACUUUCAUGGUAGCAGGCAGUGCCAUGAUUCCAGCACCAACUACGGUAGUUGAUAAAUUGAACACUGCUCCAGUAAAGGAAGCUCCAUCAAACUCAUCAAAACCAGCAUCCUCCUCUUUACUUUUGGGCAACAAGGGAGCAUUCUCAUUAACUGGUUUGCUCUUCCUCGACUUUCUCUCCUUUUUGGGAGCUUGAUUUCCAAUUGUCAUCUUUUUAAUGUCUCGAAAACUUCUCCAAAUACAGAUAUGAAACUUUAUACAAAAUCUAUAAAGCAGCUAACUUCGUAUUCUGUACAACCAGAAUAUCCGUAAUUCAUAAAAACUCAACUUCACAAUUCUACAAUUAUUGAGUUGGAAGAUGAAAUUCAAGUAAAUUAUAAACUAAAUAGUACUAACCUGUAAAAGCGGAUAGAAACCAAAUUGGAACUCUCUUAAUUUUUAUUUUAAAUGAUAAGCUUCUUAAUCUUAUUAAUCCUAACAGCCCAAACAACAAAAUUUGAAAACCAACUUAUCGAUACUCUGUUUAAAAUGAUAAAAUAUGAAAUAAGCUAAUAUAAAACCCAGAUGAGAAAGCCUAUAAAUCAACUAAAUCUUCAUAGAGACAACUGAUCACAAAUAAUUUACAACAAAAAAACUGGGAUAUCAAGAUUAAAAAGAAGAAGAAAAUCAAGCAAAGUCCCCUAAUACUUGUGCUUGUGACCCAAUAUUAUAAUAUCGAACCAAUCAAUUUCAAGGAAAAAGCUUCAAUAAUUAAAGACCCAGAUAGGGAGAAAUGAAGAUCGAGAUGGAAGGAAGAAGAAUUGACAGAAACCCAAGAACCAGGAACAAAGAAAAGUAACAAAGAGAUCGGCGUUCUAGCUCUCAAUUCUUGACGUUUAGCUUAUAAUUUACAAACAACCAAAAGAAAAAAGCCAUACGCAACGACAAAGAGUCUUAAUGGAGACACGUUUGUAAGGAUGGUCUACGGUCUACAGUCUACUGAUACAAACGCAUUGACCAGAAUGGCAAAAUUCUGUAAAAUCCACACCCGAAUAAUGAUGGUCACAGAGACCUCAGGGAUUUUAUCUGGUGGAAUUACUGUUUGGUCGGUGGUUCAAAAUGAAAGAAUAUUUAAAAAAAAAAAAGUGAUUUAAUCGAAGCAAUGACAACCAAUGAUGAUUUCUCCAUGAAUUUUGCUUGGUGUUCAUGAUUCUGCAUUGAAAACUUUCCUCCAUUUAGCAUUCAGAAAAAGAAAAGGAGGGUACAGUUCUGUCUGUCUGUCUUUCUUUGUUCUUU